UCUAAAAUGGCAGAUAAUAUGUAUAGGAUUUAAGCUCCUACCAAGAAAGUUAAUUUCUUUUAGAA
rnacentral:tRNA from 1 species